GGUCUUCUGGUCGCAGAGCCCCAGUGUGGAGUCCUGAGGAAGAGGCCCAGCUUCGGGAACUGUACCUGGCCCAUAAGGACAUGGAAGGCCAAGAUGUGGUGGAAAUCAUCUUGGCACACCUGAGAAGUACUCCUCGGACACGCAAGCAGGUCAUCCACCAUCUGGUACGCCUGGGGCUGGCUGACAGCGUGAAGGACUUCCAAAGGAAAGGAUCCCACAUUGUACUAUGGACAGAAGAUCAGGAGCUGGAGCUGCAGCGGCUUUUUGAGGAGUUCCGGGACUCAGAUGGUG